rnacentral:lncRNA from 1 species
CCCCUCAGCCCUGAGCUGCCGAUGCCCUCGGGGUUCUGUUUUCAUUCCAGGCUGUGGAUCCGGUCGUGGGAAGCAGGUAGGAAACCAUGAUUCUCGGGGUUAAAUGAAGAAAUAUAUUUAGUGCUCACAGAAAUUUAGAAAUUUAGAAAGCCAAAUAUUGGGUUAGCCGCCAGGAAUGGAGAGGGAAAAAACCCAAAGCAAACAGCAGAGGAAAGAAAUUCCUACCAGACAAGGUCCUUAUUCAUUCUCCCAACCCCAGGUGCAGGGGCCUGCAGGGGAGAGACCCGCUGAACUUAAGACUCUGAUCAAACCCCAGACUCGGACCCUGCGCUGCCCAUGGGGCCGACCGUCAAUAUCUGGAUUGGCAAUGGCACCCUAGAGCUCACUAAGUUGACCCUAAAGCCCUUUGGGAGCCAAGGGUGGGGGUGGGGAAGGAAUAACAAAGUAGAAAGUUCCUGGAUUGAGGUGGAAAAAUCAGUUUAACCUCCCUGGGCCUCAUCUACGGAAUGUAAGGGUUGGAUUAUGAUUUCACAGGUCAUAGCAUCCUACUAUUGUUUCUGCCUAAAAUAAGCAGCAAUAAGAAUGAGUGUGAGGAAGACCACAGCAGCAGGACCCACCUGUUUCUGAGGCCUAGGGAGAUGCAGUGAUAGAUUUCAGCUUAUUCCUCAUUCUCAGGUUUCUGUACCUUGACCCUCCAUAGAGUGAACUUCUAGGUUCUGAGCUGACUCCUUGGAAACCCUAGACUCCAGGGACGCGCUUCUAGAACCUGCUCAGAUUGCUACUCAGUUAACAGCCUGGCCCAGGAGGAUUGCAACACCCAGCCUGGCUCCCAGGCAAGCUAAAGAGGGCUUGAUGAUGGGAAGAGGUUAAGGGGUACGUGGAGAGAAAGAAGGAUCAGAAGGCGGAAACAUCAUAGACCUCCUGGGAUGCCUUCUGCAGGAUCACAGAGAAGGCAAAAUUUGUCCUCCUGACUACAAGAUGCCAAGAUACAUUUGUAUCGAGCCACUGAAUUCUCUACCCCUUCUGUAGAGGUGGUUGGGGAAGAGCUGCAGUAGGAAGCUGGGUCCCAAGUAAUGAAGGACCUUUAGAAGCAGAAGGUGUUAGGGUGGGGGCAAAGGACUGAACUCUGACCAACCAGAAGAAAGGAAAAACUGGAGUUCCUUUCCCCUAGUCUUUCAUCAUCCAUUCACUAACUGGAGGACAACAUCUGAAUUUAUUAGUGAGCAUACAAAGGCUUUUCAUCCGCUGAACCCAGCGCAUCUGCUACCAUUUCCCUGGUCUCCGGUCAGAACUAGUGACUGUCCCAUAAACAGGUUCUGCUGGACUUCCAGUCAAGAUGGAGCGUAAAGAUGGGAUCUUGUUCUGUUGCCCAGGCUGGUCUCCAACUUCUGGCUGCAAGUGAUCCUCCCUCCUUGGCCUGGCAAAGUGCUGGGAUUACAGGGCCGCACACAUACAGAGCUGAACUUGUAUCGCCGUGUAGAUGAAGACAAACACCUUUAGGAGAUGGCAGAGAAACAAAAUGGGAAACCCUCAGGUCUCCAAAUGACUACACCAAGCAGAAUUGCCCCACCAGCCUGCACCAUUCAUUUCUAGACUAUGAGCAAGAAGUACACUUCCAUCUUAUUUAAACAACCA